rnacentral:rRNA from 1 species
GACGAACGCUGGCGGCGUGCCUAAUACAUGCAAGUCGUGCGGACCUUGUUGAAAGCUUGCUUUUAAAAGGUUAGCGGCGGACGGGUGAGUAACACGUGGGCAACCUGCCUGUAAGACUGGGAUAACGCCGGGAAACCGGGGCUAAUACCAGAUCGUUUUUUCCUCCGCAUGGAGGAAAAAGGAAAGGCGGCUUCGGCUGCCACUUACAGAUGGGCCCGCGGCGCAUUAGCUAGUUGGCGGGGUAAUGGCCCACCAAGGCAACGAUGCGUAGCCGACCUGAGAGGGUGAUCGGCCACAUUGGGACUGAGACACGGCCCAAACUCCUACGGGAGGCAGCAGUAGGGAAUCUUCCGCAAUGGACGAAAGUCUGACGGAGCAACACCGCGUGAGUGAAGAAGGCCUUCGGGUCGUAAAACUCUGUUGCCGGGGAAGAACAAGUGCCGUUCGAACAGGGCGGCGCCUUGACGGUACCCGGCCAGAAAGCCACGGCUAACUACGUG